UCAGGACGAACGCUGGCGGCGUGCCUAACACAUGCAAGUCGAGCGAGGAGAUCCUUCGGGAUGAUCCUAGCGGCGGACGGGUGAGUAACACGUGGGCAACCUGCCUCAUAGAGAGGAAUAGCCUUCCGAAAGGGAGAUUAAUACCUCAUAACAUUGCAGUUUCGCAUGGAACAGCAAUUAAAGGAGCAAUCCGCUAUGAGAUGGGCCCGCGGCGCAUUAGCUAGUUGGUGAGGUAACGGCUCACCAAGGCGACGAUGCGUAGCCGACCUGAGAGGGUGAUCGGCCACAUUGGGACUGAGACACGGCCCAGACUCCUACGGGAGGCAGCAGUGGGGAAUAUUGCACAAUGGGGGAAACCCUGAUGCCAGCAACGCCGCGUGAGUGAUGACGGCCUUCGGGUUGUAAAGCUCUGUCUUCAGGGACGAUAAUGACGGUACCUGAGGAGGAAGCCACGGCUAACUACGUGCCAGCCGCCGC
rnacentral:rRNA from 1 species